UACGAAGGGGGCUAGCGUUGUUCGGAAUCACUGGGCGUAAAGCGCACGUAGGCGGACGUUUAAGUCAGGGGUGAAAUCCCAGGGCUCAACCCUGGAACUGCCCUUGAUACUGGACGUCUCGAGUCCGGGAGAGGUGAGUGGAACUCCGAGUGUAGAGGUGAAAUUCGUAGAUAUUCGGAAGAACACCAGUGGCGAAGGCGGCUCCCUGGCCCGGUACUGACGCUGAGGUGCGAAAGCGUGGGGAGCAAACAGG
rnacentral:rRNA from 1 species